rnacentral:lncRNA from 1 species
GGAAUUUCUCCAGACAAGUUAAAAAAACAAAGGCUUCAACAUCAGGAACAGCACCAGUUUGAUUACAAUACCUUUAGCACAUGGCAUUAGCCAAUGCAGACACCUAAAAUGAACAAUACUAACAAUAAAUAGCAACAGUGAUACAAUUAUAGCAGAGAUUUAAAAUGCUAAGAAAAAACUAAUAACAAAGUUAGCCAAUGAAUAUAAACUUUUAAUUAAAAGACUUACUAGAAGAGGACAACUUGCAAAUAUAUUUCAUAAAAGACCUAUAACCAUUAGAGAAAUUGAAUUGGUCUACACCAGUAUUUCUCAACUUUGUUACCAUUGAUGAUUUGGACUAAUAAUUGUUUGUUUUCAGAAGCUGCCCUAUACAUUGUGGGAUAUUGAGCAGUGUAUCUGGUCCCUAUUCACUAGAUGCCUGUAGCAGCCUCACAGUUGUGAUAAUUUUGUCUCCAAUUCUCACGGAUGACUGAGGGGUUCAAGACUUCAGUGGAGGAAGUAACAGCAGAUGUGGUGGAGAUAGCAAGAGAACUGAAUUACAAGUGGAGCCUGAAGAUGGGACUGAAUUGCUGCAAUCUAAUGGUCAAACAUGAAUGGAUGAAGAGUUGCUUCUUUUGGAUGAGCAGUGAAAGUUGCUCCUUGAGAAGGAAUCUACUCUUGGUGAAGAUGCUGUGAACAUUGUUGAAAUGACAAGAAAGGAUUUAGAGUAUUCCAUAAACUUAGUUGGUAAAUCACCAGCAGGGUUUGAGAGGAUUGACUCCAGUUUUGAAAAAAGUUCUACUGUGAGUAAAAUGCUUUCAAACAGCAUCACAUGCUACAGAGAAAUCUUUUGUAAAAGGUAGAGUCCAUUUACGUGGCAAAAUUCAUUGUUGUGUUAUUUUAAGAAAUGACCACAGCCACUCCAUCCUUCAGCAAUCACUACCCUGAUUUGUCAGCAAC